rnacentral:misc_RNA from 1 species
GAAACAGACAACUUCAAGAAACACUUCAUCAGUUACAUCAAGACAUGACCUGCUUUCCUCAAAGGGUUCACAUCAAUAUGAAGAGUGGCAUUCAGAUCUGCUGGGCUGCUGUUCAGAACCUCUCUUAUGUAUUAAAACCCUUUUCUUUCCUUGUGGUACAUUUUCUAGAAUUGCCAGUGUUGCUGCGGACAGGCAUAUAUCUUCAGCGGAUGCUUGUAAUGA